UACUUGAGGAGAAGAAGACAGCCUAAGGGCUUUAUGACUGUGAUGUCCUGUGCACAGGAUAUCUUACAAGACCACAGCCUUUUGCUGAUACUGACAACUUCUUGUGUAAGGUAUCUCAGUGAAUCAGGGGUGCUAUAGAGGGGCCUGGCAUGGUACAGGACAUGGGAAAAGGCUGGUAUGCACUGACAUCUAUUGGCAAGCAUGCGCAGAAUGUAAACAGUGAAUGUAUGUCAACAGGAAGUUCCCAUCUACUGUAGGCAGGUGUGUUUACAGUAGUGCAGUACAGUAGCCUCUUUGUUCCCUUUGUGCGCCAUUUCGACAGGAUCAUUCACUGAAGGUAUGUAUAAUUGUUUUUAAUCAUGUUGUUAUUCAAACAGUCUCAUAUCAAUUACACAUUCGCAUACAAAAGGUUUACUUCAUUGUUAUUAUGUGGUUCUUGAUAUGCAUGUAAUACCUAUAUGUUGAGGAUACAGGUUUUGAUUUGCAGACUUGUUUUGAUAGAUGUUUAGAUUUAUGCAGCAUAAUAGCAUGUUGCAUGCUCACAUAAAUGCUUGCUUAAUGACAUGGUUUUGCCCAGUUUUCUUGCUGCAGAUGAUUCAUGUAGUCCACAGCUUUGGAAAUGUCUGUCUGCGCAUGUGUGUUUCUCGGGCUGUAAUUGCCCAUGCGUUUAUGAGAAAAACAUUAUACCCUUGACUUUAGUCUGUCACUUAUGUGUCAUGAAGGCAGUUAUGUGCUUCUGGAGAAGCAACCCCAACAUUCUUAUGUGCUGUUAUGUUGGCCUAAUUCUCCCCCUGACUUGAUAGGCACUUCUGAGGGCCGUGUUACGUAAGUCAGGCGCCACUACAAGGUGAAACACUGUAUUGCAUUUUAAGUGUGCAAUAUAGGCCUCUAACAUCACAAAGUAUCACAAUAUUUGAUAUCAAAUGUGUACUGUAAUAGAAUUGUGAUGCCCCCUAUUACAAUAUAAAUAAAGUGACAUAUUUGCCAACAUCAACUUAUUUAGGCUACAUUGUUAAACAGGAGAGAAAAGAAACAUUUCACUUGAUAUGAUGUUGUGCAGAUGAAUGGACAAAAAACUGUCAAGCCACAGUAAUCAAUCAUCAAUAUUCUCUAACAAUCUUCCCUCUAAUACAUCAACUGCUGUGCCUCUAGCCUCUAGUUCAUUUCAGAAGGUUGCUGGUAUUGUUGUGCCCAUAGCAUUCUUAUUAGAGCCUCCUGCACAGCUAGAUGUCAGUCUUGAGCUUUGUGAAAAGCAUUUGUCUUCAAUGAGUUCUAGUACUAGUUGCUUUUUAUGCCACUUUGUGCACACCAGGGCUGUGUGACCUUCUGAUACAGUAUUUGCGUAUGUAUAACCCUCUGUUGGUAAAAGUAAUGAGUGUCUGUGCACUCUCCCUCUAUACUAUAUAGUCAAUGAAAAUAUCACCUAUUCAAGCAAACUAAAGACCAGACUGCCUUCGAAAACAGUUGAAACAAUUGGCUCAUUCAAUGUCAUGCAUAGUGUUUGAUUAAUUCUAAAAUACUGUAAUAGGCUAAUAAUAAUAAUAAUAAAAAAUUAAAACAUUUGCCAACUCAUUGCAUUUGCUGUGCUGGUUUAGGCCAAAGUCUCCUCUAAAGUCCUCUAAAGGCCUAACAGAACAAUUUAAAUAAAUUAUGGACUCUAGAUGGCACUAUUCAACUAACUCAUAGCCCACUGAACUGAUCCGAGAUGAUGGAUGUGUGGAUAGAUGGAUAGAUAGAUAGAUAGAUAGAUAGAUAGAUAGGCUGUGUUUCUUUCUUAAGAUGGGUAAAUCAGUCUUGGCUUGUGAUAUGUCAACCAUAACCCAUUCAUUCCCAUGGAAGCCUCAGCAAUAACUAAUGUACCUGUGAAGCUCUGUUUUUUUCUGGUCUGGAAUUUUUGUGGAGUAUGUUGAACAAAUGUACCUUUGCAGGGGCUUACUAGAACAUUAUUGAUGCCAGGAAGUUAGCUUAACAUUAGAAAAGCUAAUGAGCUAACAGGUUAUUUCCUUCAGUAGUCGCUUGACUGUGUUGAUAGCCAAAUGUCCAAUUGAAAAUAAACUAGCUUGGUUAGUUUAACACAUUGAGUCUGUUCAUGUUAUUCAAUUAUACUACCUAGAUUGAAGUUACAGUAAGCAUUUCAUUGCCUUGAACACAAGAUGGCAUAUCGUACAUGUACAUUUGCAUUUUGCAAGACAAUCUACAGUAUAAAUACAUGCAUUUCAGUGCCUUAAACACUAGAUGUCUAGCCUGACGAGCCAGACCCACAUUAAAAUGUAGGGUCUGGGCACUCACCGUUCGCAGUACUCAGU